UGUGUGCAUGUGUGUGUGUGUGUGUGUGUGUGUGUGUACUUGUGUGUGUUUGUGUGUAUACAUGCUGUUUCUGAGAGAUAUUUUAUCAAGAGAAAAUAGAUUUAUCAAUAGGAA